rnacentral:rRNA from 1 species
AUACGUAGGUGGCAAGCGUUGUCCGGAAUUAUUGGGCGUAAAGCGCAUGUAGGCGGUUUGGUAAGUCGGUCGUGAAAAUGCGGUGCUUAACGCCGUAUGGCGAUUGAAACUGCUGAACUUGAGUGCAGGAGAGGAAAGGGGAACUCCCAGUGUAGCGGUGAAAUGGGUAGAUAUUGGGAAGAACACCGGUGGCGAAGGCGCCUUUCUGGACUGGGUCUGGAGCUCAGAUGCGAAAGCCAGGGUAGCGAACGGGAUUAGAUACCCCGGUAGUCCUGGCCGUAAACGAUGGGUACUAGGUGUGGGAGGUAUCGACUCCUUCCGUGCCGGAGUUAACGCAAUAAGUACCCCGCCUGGGGAGUACGGCCGCAAGGCUUAAACUCAAAUGAAUUGACGGGG